AAGCUUGUAACUCAGUUGGUUAGAGUAUACGCCUGAUAAGCGUAUUGUCGGUAGUUCGAGUCUACUCAAGCUUA
rnacentral:tRNA from 1 species